rnacentral:rRNA from 1 species
GGAAGAACACCAGGUUGAUAGGUCAGAGAUGUAAGCAUGGCAACAUGUUAAGUUGACUGAUACUAAUAAGUCGAGGGCUUGACCAAAUAA